GUUUAGAAAUCUCUUGCUGUUUUCAAUUUUUCUACUAAUCUGAAGUCGUUGCAAUAAUUUGCACAGACUUCUGAUAUCCAAUACCCAGAUAAUAGUGUCAUAGAUAGAGAAAUCAUAAAGUGUUAUUAUAUAAAUAUCUUGUCAAUCAAUCCUUUGCUGAUUUCUCUUUCUUAGUCUGUUCGGAUCAAGAGACUCUGUCAGACUAGGUUAACCUUAGACUCUUUUGUCAG
rnacentral:lncRNA from 1 species